AAUCAACGCUGGCGGCGUGCCUCAGACAUGCAAGUCGAACGAUUAAAGCUCUCUUCGGAGAGUGUAUAGAGUGGCGCACGGGUGAGUAACACGUAAGUAAUCUACCCUCGAGUGGGGAAUAACAACCGGAAACGGUUGCUAAUACCGCAUAAUGCAGCGGCACCGCAAGGUGACAGUUGUUAAAGAUUUAUCGCUUGAGGAGGAGCUUGCGGCAGAUUAGCUAGUUGGUAGGGUUACGGCUUACCAAGGCUACGAUCUGUAACCGGUCUAAGAGGACGGUCGGUCACACUGACACUGAAUAACGGGUCAGACUCCUACGGGAGGCAGCAGUCGGGAAUUUUGGGCAAUGGGCGAAAGCCUGACCCAGCAACGCCGCGUGAAGGAUGAAGUAUUUCGGUAUGUAAACUUCGAAAGAAUAGGAAGAAUUAAUGACGGUACUAUUUAUAAGGUCCGGCUAACUACGUGCCAGCAGCCGCGGUAAU
rnacentral:rRNA from 1 species